rnacentral:rRNA from 1 species
UCCGUAGGUGAACCUGCGGAGGGAUCAUUACUGAGUUUUACUCUAAAACCCGCGAACCUACCUCUAUAGCUUCGGCGACCUGCCCCGGGGGGCGUUCUACGGUCGCCGAAAGCCCAUCAGAACUCUUUUACAGGCUCUCUGAGUAAACCAUUAAAUGCUAAAAACCUUCAACAACGGAUCUCUUGGUUCUGGCAUCGAUGAAGAACGCAGCGAAAUGCGAUACGUAAUGUGAAUUGCAGAAUUCCGCGAAUCAUCGAAUCUUUGAACGCACAUUGCACCCGGUGGUAUUCCGCCGGGUAUGCCUGUCUGAGCGUCAUUUUUACCCUCGAGCACUGCUCGGUGUUGGCGGAUUGCCUAGCAACCGCUGAAAAUCAACGGCGGUGACCCCUAUGUCCCUGUAUAGUAUUAUUCUUACAGUGGUUAUAGCGGUCUAUCAGUCUCCUGUGCGCCGUAACAAGCGCUACACUUUGAAACUCGACCUCAGAUCAGGUAGGAAUACCCGCUGAACUUAAGCAUAUCAAUAAGCGGAGGA